rnacentral:rRNA from 1 species
UACGGGGGGGGCAAGCGUUGUUCGGAUUUACUGGGCGUAAAGGGCGCGUAGGCGGUCGUGACAAGUCACUUGUGAAAUCUCCGGGCUUAACUCGGAGCGGUCAAGUGAUACUGUCGGACUAGAGUACAGAAGGGGCAACUGGAAUUCUCGGUGUAGCGGUGAAAUGCGUAGAUAUCGAGAGGAACACCUGCGGCGAAGGCGGGUUGCUGGGCUGAUACUGACGCUGAGGCGCGAAAGCCAGGGGAGCGAACGGG